CCUUUUCUAUUAUAAUCGUUCGUUCUAAGACACCAGGUCCCAUGUACUGAAUAGAGAACCUUCAAACUAGUCCCCCAAACUGCCUCAAAUAACAGAUAAAAGGAAAGGGAGAGGGUUUCAGAAACAUUAAACCUGUUAAGAAAGUUUUGAAUAAGCAUUCAAUGACAUAUUUGUCGCUGGACGUCAGAUAAACAAUGAAUCAAUACACAAAAAAA
rnacentral:lncRNA from 1 species